AUAUCAGUAAGCAGAGGAAAAGAAACUAACUAGGAUUCCCUCAGUAACGGCGAGUGAAGCGGGAAGAGCUCAACUUUCAAAUCCGAGCGCAAGCUCCGAAUUGUAGUUUAGAGAAGCGUUUUCGGUGACAUCCCUGGUCCAAGUCCUUUGGAACAAGGUAUCAUAGAGGGUGAGAAUCCCGUCUAUGACUAGGGGGGAAGUCAUUAUGUGAUACGCUUUCAAAGAGUCGGGUUGUCUGGGACUACAGCCCAAAAUGGGUGGUAAAUUUCAUCUAAAGCUAAAUAUUGGUACGAGACCGAUAGCGCACAAGUA
rnacentral:rRNA from 1 species